UGUACAACAUAUUAUUCUUCUUGAAUUCAAUAUAUCUUCGGAAGCAUCAAGUUUCAAUUCAAACCCAAAACUUACGAUGAGGUUGCUGAAAGUGGCUACAUGCAAUCUGAACCAAUGGGCAAUGGACUUUGAUUGCAAUUUGAAGAAUAUUAAAGAAUCAAUAGUUAGGGCUAAAGAAGCUGGGGCUGUUAUUCGGCUUGGUCCGGAGCUUGAAAUCACUGGUUAUGGCUCUGAAGAUCAUUUCUUGGAACUUGACACUGUUGCUCACGCGUGGGAGUGCUUAAAGGAAUUAUUGCUUGGUGAUUGGACAGAUGACAUAUUAUGUAGUUUUGGUAUGCCUGUUAUCAAAGGGUCCGAGCGUUACAACUGUCAAGUCGUAUGCCUUAACAGAAAGAUAAUAAUGAUACGCCCAAAAAUGUGGCUCGCAAACGAUGGAAACUACAGAGAACUUAGGUGGUUUACAGCAUGGAAACAAAAUGAUCAACUCGAAGAAUUUCAUCUUCCUAGUGACAUUUCCGAAGCUUUGCAGCAGAAAACAGUCCCUUUUGGCUAUGGGUUCAUGCAAUUUCUCGACACGGCGGUUGCAGCGGAAGUUUGUGAAGAGCUGUUCACUCCGAUUCCUCCGCACGCUGAGCUUGCGUUAAAUGGCGUUGAGGUGUUCAUGAAUGCAAGUGGAAGUCAUCACCAGCUAAGAAAACUUGACCUUCGUAUGCGUGCGUUUAUAGGCGCUACGCAUACUCGUGGUGGAGUGUAUAUGUAUAGUAAUCAUCAGGGAUGUGAUGGUGGCCGCCUUUAUUAUGAUGGUUGUGCAUGUGUUGUCGUUAAUGGAGAUGUAGUCGCGCAAGGGUCGCAGUUCUCCUUAAAGGAUGUAGAGGUUGUAGUCGCACAAAUAGAUCUAGACGCCGUUGCUAGUCUUAGGGGAUCGAUAAGCAGUUUCCAAGAGCAAGCAAGUCGUAAACAACACGUUUCCUCUGUAUACGUGCCUUACAAGCUUUGCAAGCCUUUUAACCUCCAGAUGUCUCUUUCAAGCCCAUUGAAGAUUAGUUAUCAUUCUCCUGAGGAAGAAAUAGCGUUUGGACCCGGUUGCUGGCUCUGGGAUUACUUAAGAAGAAGUGGAGCUUCCGGUUUUCUACUUCCGCUUUCGGGUGGGGCCGAUAGCUCUUCGGUAGCCGGUAUUGUCGGUUGCAUGUGUCAGCUUGUAGUAAAAGAGAUUGCAAAUGGAGAUGAACAAGUUAAGUCAGAUGCUAUAAGAAUCGGAAACUAUACCGAUGGGCAGUUUCCUACAGACAGCAAAGAAUUCGCAAAACGCGUUUUCUACACCGUUUUCAUGGGAUCCGAAAACAGUUCCGAUGCCACGCGGUCACGAGCGAAGAUGCUUGCAGACGAGAUUGGAUCAUGGCAUCUUGAUGUUUCCAUAGACACUGUGGUUUCUGCCUUUUUAUCUCUGUUUCAAACACUUACUGGAAAACGACCUCGUUACAAGGUUGAUGGGGGAUCGAACAUUGAAAAUCUAGGGCUGCAAAACGUUCAAGCACGAAUACGGAUGGUUCUAGCGUUUAUGUUAGCAUCAUUAUUGCCAUGGGUUCAUAACAAACCGGGAUUCUAUUUAGUGCUAGGCAGCUCCAACGUUGAUGAAGGAUUGCGUGGUUACCUAACAAAGUAUGACUGCAGUUCUGCUGACAUAAAUCCAAUCGGAAGUAUCAGCAAGCAGGAUCUUCGAAUAUUUUUAAGAUGGGCCGCUACCCAUCUCGGUUUUUCAUCGUUAGCGGAGAUCGAAGCUGCUCCCCCGACUGCUGAGCUGGAGCCCAUUCGAUCAAAUUACAGUCAGCUGGAUGAAGUCGACAUGGGAAUGACAUACGAUGAACUUUCAGUAUAUGGAAGGCUCAGGAAGAUCUUCCGAUGCGGGCCCGUGUCUAUGUUCAAGAAUCUUUGUUUCGGAUGGGGUUCGAAACUAAGUCCGUCAGAGGUAGCUGAUAAAGUGAAGUACUUUUUUAAAUAUUAUUCCAUUAACCGACACAAGAUGACCGUAAUAACGCCCUCUUAUCAUGCUGAGAGUUAUUCACCGGAAGAUAAUAGGUUUGAUCUGAGGCAGUUUCUGUAUAAUUCAAGAUGGCCGUACCAAUUUCGCAAAAUCGAUCAACUUGUGGAUGAGCUUAGUGUCGGUAAAGAUGCGCCUGCGUCAUCAAAUGGUGUGGGAGUCGUAGCAGCUGGUUCAGCCGAUCCCAAAGCUGGUCUUUAAUUUACGUUAUAAUCAUCAACCCGCGUAUACUUGUCGUUCGCAGACUGUACUUUUGUUUAGUUUUUCCUAACUUAAUUAGGUUUAUGAAUAAGGUCAAAAGGAACCCGGAAUAAGCAUCUGUUACAUAAUCUAAACAUAUCGCAAACUU